ACAGGUGAUUCCCCAAACUUAUACAUCAAGGUCACCAUCAAUGGGAUAGUGUGGAGCUGGACUGAGCCUCUUCAAGCAAGUUUCUCGCCAGUUUGAGACUCUGGACAAGCCCAAUCAGCUUGUUGAACAUUUGUUUUCUUUGUUUCAGCUGCACACCCACGAGACCUCUCAUAGGAGUGGUAUGAACUGUGCAAAAGUGCUUCUGGGACAAUUUUCUUAAAAGAAAGAGACUAGGAGUUCGUGUUUGCUUUGGUUUCUUUAUCAAGACACAUGCUACUUGUGAAAGAGAAGCUAUCAUAAAAUAGCCCUAUGAUAUCA